UUUCUCGGAGGCAUAUAGGGGGUCUAAAGGAAAGAAAGAUUUACGAAUUGAUAGGUGGUCGAGUUUUGUUUGGCUGAGCAGCCUCUACGCGUUUCCUCUUCUUAAAGGAUUAAGACGAGUGAUGGCCACCAGGUGCUGUCUCAGAGAUACUGAACUGCUAUUGGAGUAAAAACGAAAUACUAACCGCACAGAAAAACAUCAUACUGCAGAACUAUAGGGGUAAACAUCGUGAGACGCAAAUAUAUUGCACUGGAGAGGAAGCUAGCGCUCGGCUAUUUCCUUUUUGAGAACUCAUCGCUCCUGGUUUAAAUUUUAUUAUUUGCAAGUCGGGCUGAACAGCGGAUGCUAUAUUUUCUUUUUGACUCUAGUGGAACAAAUGUCACCGUGUUCAAGGGUUGAUCAAAAAGCCGUUUUGUCUAUAGGAACCAUUAUUAAAACUCUUUUUUUGCCCCUGCUAGCUGUUUUUGCUAGCUAGGAAAUGACAACUGAAACUUCCCAGCAGCAGCUGGACUCACCAGCGCCUUUAAGAUCGAGCCCGAUUUCUGGAGUUCUUCAUUCAGCACCGAUGAACCAACAGUCCUCGGUAGUGGAGAGCGCAGCCUCCUCCAAAGGCAAAAAGGCGAAUGCAGGGCUCAGGCGCCCUGAAAAACCGCCGUAUUCCUACAUCGCCCUCAUUGUGAUGGCAAUUCAGAGCUCCCCAACAAAAAGGUUAACCCUCAGCGAGAUCUACCAGUUUCUUCAGGUAAGGUUUUCAUUCUUCAGAGGCGCUUACCAGGGAUGGAAGAAUUCGGUUCGCCACAAUCUGUCCUUGAACGAGUGCUUUAUAAAACUACCAAAGGGUCUAGGAAGACCGGGUAAAGGACACUACUGGACCAUUGACCCAGCCAGUGAAUUUAUGUUCGAGGAGGGAUCAUUCCGCCGCAGACCAAGAGGUUUCAGAAGAAAAUGCCAGGCUUUGAAACCAAUGUAUCGGAUGAUGAACGGCAUUGGUUUUGGCACUUCAAUAUUACCCCAAAGCUUUGAUUUCCAAGCUCCGUCUGCGUCACUGGCAUGCCAUACCAACAGCUACAACUUGGACAUGAUGACUAAUUCUAUGGCAGGAGGCUAUGAUGGACUCAGUGGUGGCCACCAUGUCCCUCAUAUGUCUUCCAGCCCCGGUUCAACUUACAUGGCCAGUUGUCCAGUAACUUCUAAUGGAGACUAUGGCCCUGAUAACAGCAGUAGUCCAGUACCUUCUUCCCCUGCAAUGGCUAGUGCAUUGGAAUGCCAUUCUCCAUAUGCAAGUACUUCUGCACACUGGGCAUCUUCAGGGGGGUCUCCUUAUAUCAAACAGCAGACACUGGCAUCUAGUAACCCUUCUUCAUCCACUUUACAUUCUAACAUGUCUUCCUACUCCCUGGAACAAAGCUACUUGCAUCAAAAUGCCAGAGAAACGGCAGAUAUUUCAGUGGGAAUACCUCGUUACCAAACCCAUUCGUCGCCAGUUUGUGAAAGGAAAGAUUUUGUUUUGAAUUUCAACGGGAUCUCCUCAUUCCACCCGUCAGCCACUGGCUCUUAUUAUCACCAUCACCACCACCACCACCACCACCAGAGCGUAUGCCAGGACAUAAAGCCCUGUGUGAGGUGAAUGCUCUAGCGCACCGCCGCAGACAGCUGUUCCACUGACUGCCUCAACAGGUUACGAAAAAAUUAGAAAUCUGUGCCGAAGAAAAAUGGAUGAAUAAAGACUAAUAGAACAUCAAUAAAUCACUCUUACUGACACUUUUACUAGAACGCGAACAGCCACUUUUUACUGUCAAUAUUACAAGGUGAAUGAACGUUUUAUUAGUAUCAUGUUUUCAAAACCCUGAAAACAUUCCUUUGACUAUUUUUGCAGCUGACAGUAGGCUAUUGGAUGACAAUAGACAAUGUGGCUAUUGCAGCUAAGUUCUUGUCUUUAAUCCUUAUUAUAUUAAUAGGAUUUAAAUUGUAUACACACCCCAAAAAAAACUAACAAAAAAACAACAACAACAUAGUCUACGUUUUUUAAUUUUUAUUUGUAUUUGCAAUAGUUCACAUUAAGAGUUUAAGGUAAUACAGUAUUAAGUACAGGUUAUGUUGAAGUUCAAGAACAGGAACCGCUAAAACUGUUUAACCGCCUGCAAACCACAAAAGUCAAUACAAUGUUAGGUAGCCAUUGAUAUUUUCUUUUCUAUAAUGUAUAUAGGCUUACUCGUUUUUUGAGGUAUAUAGAAUAUUUAGUUCCAGUUACAUUUUUGUGCAUGAAAUGUUGUGGAUGAAUAAGGGGAGGUAGAAGGGAUACAUGUAGGUUCACAUACUUUUUUUUUUUAAAUCAUUAAACAUUAACAUAUUUGCACUUAUUAUAUAGCUAAGUUUGCCACCAUAUUCUGAUGUAAAGUCUUUCAAUAAAAUAUCUAUGUUUAAAAUGUAUGUGUAGAAUUAAGCUAUGUAGAUUUACCUUAAGAAUAUGUUUAUUUUAACUAAUAUACAUUCUAGAGUGAUUUUUGAAACCAUCGGCUACCUUAUACAUAUAGACCAAUAUUAAACGAACAAAAAGCAAAGAAAAAAGACAUAUGUUAAUUCUUACCUGAAGGUCAGCGUUUAUAUUGUAAGAACAGUAACCCCAAUAUUACUAAAUCAACGCUGUUGUACAGGGCAGGUUAUCUGAGCUUUAGGCUACCAAAGAGCGCACAGUAAUGCUUGUUUGAAAAGUGUGUUCCGUGUAUGCCAUGUCUAUGUUGUUUAAUGAAGGGCAACCCACUUUUGGAUGAAUUAAUUUAACAGUAUUUUUUAAAAAGCAUGCUAAGA